AUACUUCAGGAGCCGGAAGUAUGGUGCUCAACACGUUUCAAAUGUAAUGGAUGGCCAGCUGACGUAAACUUGUAUCUGAUAUCAAUAAUGUUCCGAUUCUACAUAACAGCAAAACCAUAACGGUGAAUUGGAUAUAUAUGUUACAGUAUUUAUAAAAUAACAAAAAUACAGUCAUGGAAGAUGUAACGAUAGAGACAGCCGAGGAGAUCUUAGCCAAGCAACAUCGCAAGGAGAAGAAGGACCUGCAAGCUCAAAUCCAGAGCAUGAAAAAUGCUGUCCCCAAAAAU